rnacentral:tRNA from 1 species
GCCUCCUUAGCUCAGUGGCAGAGCGACGGUUUUGUAAACCGCUGAUGACAGUUCGAUUCUGUCAGGAGGCUCCA